CAAUUCUACGUAAAUAUCAAAAAGACGUGGCCACGCGAUGUCUUCGAUUCAGCUAAUUUUUUUCUUACUGAAACUUCAAUGAAUGAAAAGAUUGACUAUAUGAAAGAAAGCAUGGUAGUUUAUCCGGUUGCCAUGGAAACGGGACUAGAAGGUGUAAAUUAUAGUGGAUAUUGCUAUUUAUCAAUAAUAUCAAAAAAAUAUUUACUAGACAAAGCUGUUUAUAUUCAUAUUUUUUUAUAUCCUUCAUGACAAUCAAAACUAUGUAAAAAAUAGCCAAGGUCACAAAAAUUUUACAAUUUCUAAUUUUCUGAUGCCCAAAAAGUGAAUAAUUAGUCCUCGUUACCUCCCUUGUUAGACUUAAUAUUUAAAGACUUUGACAAGUGAUGUAAAAAUUCUAGUAGGGAGAUUUAGAUUCAAGAAAUGUUAUUUUGCAAAUAUCAUUUAAAACAUUUAUGGGUAAAUGAAAAAUAAACAUUUUAUUACACUAUAAAGUUGGUCUAAAUCUGCUUUUUCUCUAUCCGAGUUAUUUCCCUUGUUGGAGCUCUUCGGCAUUGAAGAAUACAAAAUGUGUAAAUUGUAAACAAGAUGGCAGACAAUGAAAUCUGCAGUUUUUCUUCUUGUUUUGAAACAUCUUGUUCAGGAAAAUUCUACCUCAAGAGACUCAGAAUUUGAUGAAAAACAGUUGACAAAGUUGGGAUAAUCUUUAAGAAAAGCCAAAGGGUUGAUCUGGACAUGAUGAGUAUUACACGUAUAGCUACUCGUAGAAAAGAAAAUAUGAGGAAAUCAGGGUGGUAUGGGGGCGAAGGCCGAGAGGAUUUUAGCUGUUCCCUUCAAGAUGUCUUUGAAAUAGAGAUAGAGAGAUAAAUGUAGUGGUGUGGUAGUCCCCGACCGAUCCCGAUUACAAUGUCCCUUGCAAGAUUUUCCUAAUGAAGAUUCUCAGGAUUACAGAUCCUCUAGCAAGGAGACCAAACAGAUAGAAAUGACCAGAGCAGAGGACAUACAACCCCCCCCCCCCAAAAAAAAAAAAAAAAAAUUCACAGUGGACUGGAAGUAAAAUUUACAUAAAAAAUACAAAGUAGGAAAAAUAACAGAAAGAAAAGAGGAUCCAGUAAAAGUUGUCACUGGUGCAAGAUGGACAUAGAGAGGGUUUUCUAAUGAUCAUUACUAAAAUCCACAGCAAAUUAAUAUUGCAAGGCUGAGCUACUUUUCAAACUUACACAAAAGGACAUAAAGAAAUGUGAAUUCAAGGAAACCAAGCUGACAUCAAAUGAGAGAAUAUGAAGGAACAAAUUUUAGCAAAUUUUUUUUUUAAGCAGGGCAUCUGUUUUCCUUAGAGAAUAU